UACGUAGGUGGCAAGCGUUGUCCGGAAUUAUUGGGCGUAAAGCGCUCGCAGGCGGUCUUUUAAGUCUGAUGUGAAAGCCCUCGGCUCAACCGAGGAGGGUCAUUGGAAACUGGGAGACUUGAGUGCAGAAGAGGAAAGUGGAAUUCCAAGUGUAGCGGUGAAAUGCGUAGAUAUCAGGAGGAACACCGGUGGCGAAGGCGGCUUUCUGGACAGUAACUGACGCUGAGGAGCGAAAGCUAGGGGAGCAAACAGG
rnacentral:rRNA from 1 species